UAAGACGAACCGUGCAAACGUUGUUCGGAAUCACUGGGCUUAAAGGGCGCGUAGGCGGCUUGCCAAGUCGGGGGUGAAAUACUUCAGCUUAACUGGAGAAGUGCCUUCGAUACUGGCGAGCUCGAGGGAGGUAGGGGUGUGUGGAACUUCUGGUGGAGCGGUGAAAUGCGUUGAUAUCAGAAGGAACGCCGGUGGCGAAAGCGACGCACUGGACCUCUUCUGACGCUGAGGCGCGAAAGCUAGGGGAGCAAACGGGAUUAGAUACCCCGGUAGUCCUAGCCCUAAACGAUGGGUACUAGAUUGUAGACUUAACAUGGGUUUACAGUCGAAGCAAAAGUGUUAAGUACCCCGCCUGGGGAGUAUGGUCGCAAGGCUG
rnacentral:rRNA from 1 species